rnacentral:rRNA from 1 species
GACUCUGGGAUAAGCGCUGGAAGCGGCGUCUAAUACCGGAUACGAGCUGCGAAGGCAUCUUCAGCAGCUGGAAAGAAUUUCGGUCAGGGAUGAGCUCGCGGCCUAUCAGCUUGUUGGUGAGGUAAUGGCUCACCAAGGCGUCGACGGGUAGCCGGCCUGAGAGGGUGACCGGCCACACUGGGACUGAGACACGGCCCAGACUCCUACGGGAGGCAGCAGUGGGGAAUAUUGCACAAAUGGGCGAAAGCCUGAUGCAGCAACGCCGCGUGAGGGAUGACGGCCCUUCGGGUUGUAAACCUCUUUUAGCAAGGAAGAAGCGAAAGUGACGGUACUUGCAGAAAAAGCGCCGGCUAACUACGUGCCAGCAGCCGCGGUAAUACGUAGGGCGCAAGCGUUAUCCGGAAUUAUUGGGCGUAAAGAGCUCGUAGGCGGUCUGUCGCGUCUGCUGUGAAAACCCGAGGCUCAACCUCGGGCCUGCAGUGGGUACGGGCAGACUAGAGUGCGGUAGGGGAGAUUGGAAUUCCUGGUGUAGCGGUGGAAUGCGCAGAUAUCAGGAGGAACACCGAUGGCGAAGGCAGAUCUCUGGGCCGUAACUGACGCUGAGGAGCGAAAGGGUGGGGAGCAAACAGGCUUAGAUACCCUGGUAGUCCACCCCGUAAACGUUGGGAACUAGUUGUGGGGUCCAUUCCACGGAUUCCGUGACGCAGCUAACGCAU